GUUAAAACAACGGUCCCCGUAAGAUCACCAAAGUUGAGCAACGUCCAGCCUAGUCAGUACCUAGGUGGGUGACUGCUUGGGAAUAACAGGUGCUGUAA